GGGGAUAACUACUGGAAACGGUAGCUAAUACCGCAUAACGUCUUCGGACCAAAGUGGGGGACCUUCGGGCCUCAUGCCAUCAGAUGUGCCCAGAUGGGAUUAGCUAGUAGGUGGGGUAACGGCUCACCUAGGCGACGAUCCCUAGCUGGUCUGAGAGGAUGACCAGCCACACUGGAACUGAGACACGGUCCAGACUCCUACGGGAGGCAGCAGUGGGGAAUAUUGCACAAUGGGCGCAAGCCUGAUGCAGCCAUGCCGCGUGUAUGAAGAAGGCCUUCGGGUUGUAAAGUACUUUCAGCGGGGAGGAAGGGGAGAUGGUUAAUAACCAUUUUCAUUGACGUUACCCGCAGAAGAAGCACCGGCUAACUCCGUGCCAGCAGCCGCGGUAAUACGGAGGGUGCAAGCGUUAAUCGGAAUUACUGGGCGUAAAGCGCACGCAGGCGGUCUGUCAAGUCGGAUGUGAAAUCCCCGGGCUCAACCUGGGAACUGCA
rnacentral:rRNA from 1 species